UACGUAGGUUCCGAGCGUUAUCCGGAUUUACUGGGCGUAAAGCGCGUUCAGGCGGUCUGGCAAGUCGGGCAUGAAAUCUCUCGGCUCAACCGGGAGAGGUUGUCCGAUACUGCUGGACUUGAGGGCAGUAGAGGGUGGUGGAAUUCCGGGUGUAGUGGUGAAAUGCGUAGAUAUCCGGAGGAACACCAGUGGCGAAAGCGGCCGCCUGGACUGCACCUGACGCUGACACGCGAAAGCUAGGGGAGCGAACGGG
rnacentral:rRNA from 1 species